rnacentral:rRNA from 1 species
GACGAACGCUGGCGGCGUGCUUAACACAUGCAAGUCGUACGGUAAGGCCCUUUCGGGGGUACACGAGUGGCGAACGGGUGAGUAACACGUGAGUAACCUGCCCACAACUUUGGGAUAACGCUAGGAAACUGGUGCUAAUACUGGAUAUGUGCUCCUGCUGCAUGGUGGGGGUUGGAAAGCUCCGGCGGUUGUGGAUGGACUCGCGGCCUAUCAGCUUGUUGGUGGGGUAGUGGCCUACCAGGGCGGCGACGGGUAGCCGGCCUGAGAGGGUGACCGGCCACAUUGGGACUGAGAUACGGCCCAGACUCCUACGGGAGGCAGCAGUGGGGAAUAUUGCACAAUGGGCGCAAGCCUGAUGCAGCAACGCCGCGUGCGGGAUGACGGCCUUCGGGUUGUAAACCGCUUUCAGCAGGGACGAAGCUUUUUGUGACGGUACCUGCAGAAGAAGCACCGGCUAACUACGUG